rnacentral:rRNA from 1 species
AUUAGACGAAUCAUCUGGAAAGAUGAAUCAAAGAAGGUAAUAAUCCUGUAGUCGAAAAUGUUGUCUCUCUUGAGUGGAUCCUGAGUACGACGGAGCACGUGAAAUUCCGUCGGAAUCUGGGAGGACCAUCUCCUAAGGCUAAAUACUCUCUAGUGACCGAUAGUGAACCAGUACCGUGAGGGAAAGGUGAAAAGCACCCCGGAAGGGGAGUGAAAUAGAACCUGAAACCGUGUGCUUACAAGUAGUCAGAGCCCGUUAAUGGGUGAUGGCGUGCCUUUUGUAGAAUGAACCGGCGAGUUACGAUUUGAUGCAAGGUUAAGCAGUAAAUGUGGAGCCGUAGCGAAAGCGAGUCUGAAUAGGGCGUUUAGUAUUUGGUCGUAGACCCGAAACCAGGUGAUCUACCCUUGGUCAGGUUGAAGUUCAGGUAACACUGAAUGGAGGACCGAACCGACUUACGUUGAAAAGUGAGCGGAUGAACUGAGGGUAGCGGAGAAAUUCCAAUCGAACCUGGAGAUAGCUGGUUCUCUCCGAAAUAGCUUUAGGGCUAGCCUCAAGUGAUGAUUAUUGGAGGUAGAG